AGUGAACGCUGGCGGUAGGCCUAACACAUGCAAGUCGAACGGCAGCACAGUAAGAGCUUGCUCUUACGGGUGGCGAGUGGCGGACGGGUGAGGAAUACAUCGGAAUCUACUUUUUCGUGGGGGAUAACGUAGGGAAACUUACGCUAAUACCGCAUACGACCUACGGGUGAAAGCAGGGGAUCUUCGGACCUUGCGCGAUUGAAUGAGCCGAUGUCGGAUUAGCUAGUUGGCGGGGUAAAGGCCCACCAAGGCGACGAUCCGUAGCUGGUCUGAGAGGAUGAUCAGCCACACUGGAACUGAGACACGGUCCAGACUCCUAUGGGAGGCAGCAGUGGGGAAUAUUGGACAAUGGGCGCAAGCCUGAUCCAGCCAUACCGCGUGGGUGAAGAAGGCCUUCGGGUUGUAAAGCCCUUUUGUUGGGAAAGAAAAGCAGCAGGUUAAUACCCCGCUGUUCUGACGGUACCCAAAGAACAAGCACCGGCUAACUUCGUG
rnacentral:rRNA from 1 species